AUUGAACGCUGGCGGCAGGCCUAACACAUGCAAGUCGAGCGAGGGGAGGACGGGGGAGGAAGGUCUGGGAAACAGCGGGAUGAAGAGGGAUAACUACGGGAAAAGGUAGGUAAAACCGCGUAUCAUCAGAUGUGGCCAGAUGGGAUUGGCUGGUCGGUGGGGUAACGGCUCACCUAGGCGACGAGCCCUAGCUGGUCUGAGAGGAUGACAAGCCACACUGGAACGGAGACACGGUCCAGACUCCUACGGGAGGCAGCAGUGGGGAAUAUUGCACAAUGGGCGCAAGCCUGAUGCAGCCAUGCCGCGUGUGUGAAGAAGGCCUUCGGGUUGUAAAGCACUUUCAGCGGGGAGGCGUUACCCGCAGAAGAAGCACCGGCUAACUCCGUGCCAGCAGCCGCGGUAAUUC
rnacentral:rRNA from 1 species